rnacentral:siRNA from 1 species
CUCAAAAAAGUGUCUACUCCCUCC